CCUACGGGAGGCAGCAGUGGGGAAUCUUGCACAAUGGAGGAAACUCUGAUGCAGCGAUGCCGCGUGAGUGAAGAAGGCCUUUGGGUUGUAAAGCUCUUUUGUAGGGGAAGAUAAUGACUGUACCCUAAGAAUAAGGUCCGGCUAACUUCGUGCCAGCAGCCGCGGUAAUACGAAGGGACCUAGCGUAGUUCGGAAUUACUGGGCGUAAAGCGCGCGUAGGCCGUUGAGUUAGUUAAUUGUGAAAUCCCAAAGCUUAACUUUGGAACUGCAAUUAAAACUGCUCGACUAGAGUUUGAUAGAGGAAAGCGGAAUACAUAGUGUAGAGGUGAAAUUCGUAGAUAUUAUGUAGAACACCAGUUGCGAAGGCGGCUUUCUGGAUCAACACUGACGCUGAGGCGCGAAAGUAUGGGUAGCAAAGAGGAUUAGAUACCCUCGUAGUCCAUACCAUAAACGGAUGAUNUNUANAUGUGUAAUUAUUUAUAUAU
rnacentral:rRNA from 1 species